CAUGUUCUCUCCACACAUGCCUAGUCGCAUAUGUCCAUGGCAUGAAGAGUUACACAUCAAGUACCUAAUGUGUGAUGAUUAAGCUCUGUCUGUAGCUCAGUGGUUUCAGUUCUCAACUGGUAUUUAUAUUGAAUCUGUUUGGAAUUCAUAUUUAUCAUUACUCUGGUUUCAUCAUAGCCAUCGAAAAACACCUUAGAGUCUGUUAGAGCCGCUUAUGAUACAGACAAGGAGCUCAUCAAUGAGUUGCAGGACAAACAGGCUCCAUCCUUGACACAGAAUGACAGAGAAGCAGCUGGAUCACCCUCUUCAAAGAAAAAGAAACUUACUG